rnacentral:rRNA from 1 species
UACGUAGGGACCGAGCGUUGUCCGGAAUCAUUGGGCGUAAAGAGCUCGUAGGCGGCUUGUCGCGUCGGAUGUGAAAGCCCGGGGCUUAACUCCGGGUCUGCAUUCGAUACGGGCAGGCUAGAGUUCGGUAGGGGAGAUCGGAAUUCCUGGUGUAGCGGUGAAAUGCGCAGAUAUCAGGAGGAACACCGGUGGCGAAGGCGGAUCUCUGGGCCGAUACUGACGCUGAGGAGCGAAAGCGUGGGGAGCGAACAGG